GGCGGCAGGCCUAACACAUGCAAGUCGAGCGGUAGAGAGAAGCUUGCUUCUCUUGAGAGCGGCGGACGGGUGAGUAAUACCUAGGAAUCUGCCUGAUAGUGGGGGAUAACGUUCGGAAACGGACGCUAAUACCGCAUACGUCCUACGGGAGAAAGCAGGGGACCUUCGGGCCUUGCGCUAUCAGAUGAGCCUAGGUCGGAUUAGCUAGUUGGUGAGGUAAUGGCUCACCAAGGCUACGAUCCGUAACUGGUCUGAGAGGAUGAUCAGUCACACUGGAACUGAGACACGGUCCAGACUCCUACGGGAGGCAGCAGUGGGGAAUAUUGGACAAUGGGCGAAAGCCUGAUCCAGCCAUGCCGCGUGUGUGAAGAAGGUCUUCGGAUUGUAAAGCACUUUAAGUUGGGAGGAAGGGCAGUUACCUAAUACGUGAUUGUCUUGACGUUACCGACAGAAUAAGCACCGGCUAACUCUGUGCCAGCAGCCGCGGUAAUACAGAGGGUGCAAGCGUUAAUCGGAAUUACUGGGCGUAAAGCGCGCGUAGGUGGUUUGUUAAGUUGAAUGUGAAAUCCCCGGGCUCAACCUGGGAACUGCAUCCAAAACUGGCAAGCUAGAGUAUGGUAGAGGGUAGUGGAAUUUCCUGUGUAGCGGUGAAAUGCGUAGAUAUAGGAAGGAACACCAGUGGCGAAGGCGACUACCUGGACUGAUACUGACACUGAGGUGCGAAAGCGUGGGGAGCAAACAGGAUUAGAUACCCUGGUAGUCC
rnacentral:rRNA from 1 species